CAGUCGCCACGGUAAUACAGAGGGUGCGAGCGUUAAUCGGAUUUACUGGGCGUAAAGCGUGCGUAGGCGGCUUUUUAAGUCGGAUGUGAAAUCCCUGAGCUUAACUUAGGAAUUGCAUUCGAUACUGGGAAGCUAGAGUAUGGGAGAGGAUGGUAGAAUUCCAGGUGUAGCGGUGAAAUGCGUAGAGAUCUGGAGGAAUACCGAUGGCGAAGGCAGCCAUCUGGCCUAAUACUGACGCUGAGGUACGAAAGCAUGGGGAGCAAACAGGAUUAGAUACCCCUGUGUCCCUGUCUCUUAUACA
rnacentral:rRNA from 1 species